CACUGGUCGAGUCGGCCUGCGCGGAAGAUGUAACGGGGCUAAACCAUGCACCGAAGCUGCGGCAGCGACACUGUGUGUUGUUGGGUAGGGGAGCGUUCUGUAAGCCUGUGAAGGUGUGUCGUGAGGCAUGCUGGAGGUAUCAGAAGUGCGAAUGCUGACAUAAGUAACGAUAAAGCGGGUGAAAAGCCCGCUCGCCGGAAGACCAAGGGUUCCUGUCCAACGUUAAUCGGGGCAGGGUGAGUCGACCCCUAAGGCGAGGCCGAAAGGCGUAGUCGAUGGGAAACGGGUUAAUAUUCCCGUACUUGGUGUUACUGCGAAGGGGGGACGGAGAAGGCUAUGUUGGCCGGGCGACGGUUGUCCCGGUUUAAGCGUGUAGGUGUGUGUUCCAGGUAAAUCCGGUUCACUUUAACACUGAGGCGUGACGACGAGGCACUACGGUGCUGAAGCAACAAAUGCCCUGCUUCCAGGAAAAGCCUCUAAGCAUCAGGUAACAUCAAAUCGUACCCCAAACCGACACAGGUGGUCAGGUAGAGAAUACCAAGGCGCUUGAGAGAACUCGGGUGAAGGAACUAGGCAAAAUGGUGCCGUAACUUCGGGAGAAGGCACGCUGACACGUAGGUGAAGUGAUUUACUCAUGGAGCUGAAGUCAGUCGAAGAUACCAGCUGGCUGCAACUGUUUAUUAAAAACACAGCACUGUGCAAACACGAAAGUGGACGUAUACGGUGUGACGCCUGCCCGGUGCCGGAAGGUUAAUUGAUGGGGUCAGCGCAAGCGAAGCUCCUGAUCGAAGCCCCGGUAAACGGCGGCCGUAACUAUAACGGUCCUAAGGUAGCGAAAUUCCUUGUCGGGUAAGUUCCGACCUGCACGAAUGGCGUAAUGAUGGCCAGGCUGUCUCCACCCGAGACUCAGUGAAAUUGAACUCGCUGUGAAGAUGCAGUGUACCCGCGGCAAGACGGAAAGACCCCGUGAACCUUUACUAUAGCUUGACACUGAACAUUGAGCCUUGAUGUGUAGGAUAGGUGGGAGGCUUUGAAGUGUGGACGCCAGUCUGCAUGGAGCCGACCUUGAAAUACCACCCUUUAAUGUUUGAUGUUCUAACGUGGACCCGUUACCCGGGUUGCGGACAGUGUCUGGUGGGUAGUUUGACUGGGGCGGUCUCCUCC
rnacentral:rRNA from 1 species